rnacentral:rRNA from 1 species
AGUGAACGCUGGCGGUAGGCCUAACACAUGCAAGUCGAACGGCAGCACAGGAGAGCUUGCUCUCUGGGUGGCGAGUGGCGGACGGGUGAGGAAUACAUCGGAAUCUACUCUGUCGUGGGGGAUAACGUAGGGAAACUUACGCUAAUACCGCAUACGACCUACGGGUGAAAGCAGGGGAUCUUCGGACCUUGCGCGAUUGAAUGAGCCGAUGUCGGAUUAGCUAGUUGGCGGGGUAAAGGCCCACCAAGGCGACGAUCCGUAGAUGGUCUGAGAGGAUGAUCAGCCACACUGGAACUGAGACACGGUCCAGACUCCUACGGCAGGCAGCAGUGGGGAAUAUUGGACAAUGGGCGCAAGCCUGAUCCAGCCAUACCGCGUGGGUGAAGAAGGCCUUCGGGUUGUAAAGCCCUUUUGUUGGGAAAGAAAUCCAGCUGGCUAAUACCCGGUUGGGAUGACGGUACCCAAAGAAUAAGCACCGGCUAACUUCGUGCCAGCAGCCGCCGUAA